rnacentral:tRNA from 1 species
GGUAGUAUAACUCAGGGGUAGAGUGUGUGCUUAGCAUGCACGAGGUCAUGGAUUCAAUAUCCAGUACCUCCA